GUUGAGUAGUAUUCCAUUGUAUAAAUAUACCACAACUUCUUUAUCCAGUCAUCUAUCGAUGGACAUUAGAUUGCUUCCAUGUCUCAGCUAUUGUAAAUAGUGCUGCUAUGAACAUUGGGGUGUAUAUGUCUCUUUGAAUUCAAGUUCUCUCUAGCUACAUACCCAGAAG